UACGUAGGGUGCAAGCGUUAAUCGGAAUUACUGGGCGUAAAGCGUGCGCAGGCGGCUAUGCAAGACAGAUGUGAAAUCCCCGGGCUCAACCUGGGAACUGCAUUUGUGACUGCAUGGCUAGAGUACGGUAGAGGGGGACGGAAUUCCGCGUGUAGCAGUGAAAUGCGUAGAUAUGCGGAGGAACACCGAUGGCGAAGGCAAUCCCCUGGACCUGUACUGACGCUCAUGCACGAAAGCGUGGGGAGCAAACAGG
rnacentral:rRNA from 1 species